UCGACCGGGGCGACAGCAAUAUGAAGGUCAGGCUGAAGACCUUACCCGAUUAGCUGAGAGGUGGUGCAUGGCCGUCGUCAGUUUCGUACUGUGAAGCAUCCUGUUAAGUCAGGCAACGAGCGAGACCCACGUCCACAGUUGCCAGCAUACCCUCCGGGGUGAUGGGUACACUGUGGAGACCGCCGCUGCUAAAGCGGAGGAAGGAGUGGGCAACGGUAGGUCAGUAUGCCCCGAAUCUCCCGGGCUACACGCGGGCUACAAUGGUUGGUACAAUGGGCAUCUACCCCGAAAGGGGAAGGAAAUCUCUUAAAGCCAAUCGUAGUUCGGAUUGAGGGCUGCAACUCGCCCUCAUGAAGCUGGAAUCCGUAGUAAUCGCGUUUCAACAGAACGCGGUGAAUACGUCCCUGCUCCUU
rnacentral:rRNA from 1 species